rnacentral:rRNA from 1 species
CACCCUGUGAACAUACCUAAAACGUUGCUUCGGCGGGAACAGACGGCCCUGUAACAACGGGCCGCCCCCGCCAGAGGACCCCUAACUCUGUUUUUAUAAUGUUUUUCUGAGUAAACAAGCAAAUAAAUUAAAACUUUCAACAACGGAUCUCUUGGCUCUGGCAUCGAUGAAGAACGCAGCGAAAUGCGAUAAGUAAUGUGAAUUGCAGAAUUCAGUGAAUCAUCGAAUCUUUGAACGCACAUUGCGCCCGCCAGUAUUCUGGCGGGCAUGCCUGUUCGAGCGUCAUUACAACCCUCAGGCCCCCGGGCCUGGCGUUGGGGAUCGGCAGAAGCCCCCUGUGGGCACACGCCGUCCCUCAAAUACAGUGGCGGUCCCGCCGCAGCUUCCAUUGCGUAGUAGCUAACACCUCGCAACUGGAGAGCGGCGCGGCCAUGCCGUAAAACACCCAACUUCUGAAUGUUGACCUCGAAUCAGGUAGGAAUACCCGCUGAACUUAAGCAUAUC